AUCAACGCUGGCGGCGUGCCUAACACAUGCCAGUCGCACGCGAAAGCCCCGCAAGGGGUAAGUAGAGUGGCAAACGGGUGAGUAACACGUGGGUGACCUGCCUUCGAGUGGGGGAUAACGUCCCGAAAGGGACGCUAAUACCGCAUGACAUCCUGCUUUUGAAAAAGCGGAGAUCAAAGCUGGGGAUCGCAAGACCUAGCGCUUGAAGAGGGGCCCGCGCCUGAUUAGCUAGUUGGUGAGGUAACGGCUCACCAAGGCGACGAUCAGUAUCCGGCCUGAGAGGGCGGACGGACACACUGGGACUGAGACACGGCCCAGACUCCUACGGGAGGCAGCAGUGGGGAAUUGUUCGCAAUAGGCGCAAGCCUGACGACGCAACGCCGCGUGGAGGACGAAGAUCUUCGGGUCGUAAACUCCUGUCGAGCGGGACGAACGCUUCGCGGAUGAAUAAUCCGCGGAAUUGACGGUACCGCUAAAGGAAGCCCCGGCUAACUCCGUG
rnacentral:rRNA from 1 species